rnacentral:misc_RNA from 1 species
GAUGAAGAACGCAGCGAAAUGCGAUACGUAAUGUGAAUUGCAGAAUUCAGUGAAUCAUCGAGUCUUUGAACGCACAUUGCGCCCCCUGGUAUUCCGGGGGGCAUGCCUGUCCGAGCGUCAUUGCCGCCCUCAAGCACGGCUUGUGUGUUGGGCCCCCGCCCCCCGGCUUCGGGGGGCGGGCCCGAAAGGCAGCGGCGGCACCGCGUCCGGUCCUCGAGCGUAUGGGGCUUCGUCACCCGCUCUGUAGGCCCGGCCGGCGCCCGCCGGCGACCCCAAUCAAUCUUUCCAGGUUGACCUCGGAUCAGGUAGGGAUACCCGCUGAACCUAAGCAUAUCAAUAAGCGGAGA